GAUGAACGCUGGCGGCGUGCCUAAUACAUGCAAGUCGAACGCUUCACUUCGGUGAAGAGUGGCGAACGGGUGAGUAAUACAUAAGUAACCUGGCAUCUACAGGGGGAUAACUGAUGGAAACGUCAGCUAAGACCGCAUAGGUGUAGAGAUCGCAUGAACUCUAUAUGAAAAGUGCUACGGGACUGGUAGAUGAUGGACUUAUGGCGCAUUAGCUUGUUGGUAGGGUAACGGCCUACCAAGGCGACGAUGCGUAGCCGACCUGAGAGGGUGACCGGCCACACUGGGACUGAGACACGGCCCAGACUCCGACGGGAGGCAGCAGUAGGGAAUUUUCGGCAAUGGGGGAAACCCUGACCGAGCAACGCCGCGUGAAGGAAGAAGUAAUUCGUUAUGUAAAAUGCUGUCAUAGAGGAAGAACGGUGGAUAUAGGGAAUGAUAUCAAAGUGACGGUACUCUAUAAGAAAGCCACGGCUAACUACGUG
rnacentral:rRNA from 1 species